rnacentral:rRNA from 1 species
UUGACCUCGGAUCAGGUAGGGAUACCCGCUGAACUUAAGCAUAUCAAUAAGCGGAGGAAAAGAAACCAACAGGGAUUACCUCAGUAACGGCGAGUGAAGCGGUAAGAGCUCAAAUUUGAAAGCUGGCUCCUUCGGGGUCCGCAUUGUAAUUUGCAGAGGAUGCUUCGGGAGCGGUCCCCAUCUAAGUGCCCUGGAACGGGACGUCAUAGAGGGUGAGAAUCCCGUAUGGGAUGGGGUGUCCGCGCCCGUGUGAAGCUCCUUCGACGAGUCGAGUUGUUUGGGAAUGCAGCUCUAAAUGGGUGGUAAAUUUCAUCUAAAGCUAAAUAUUGGCCGGAGACCGAUAGCGCACAAGUAGAGUGAUCGAAAGAUGAAAAGCACUUUGAAAAGAGAGUUAAAAAGCACGUGAAAUUGUUGAAAGGGAAGCGCUUGCGACCAGACUCGCUCGCGGGGUUCAGCCGGCAUUCGUGCCGGUGUACUUCCCCGCGAGCGGGCCAACGUCGGUUUGGGCGGUCAGUCAAAGGCCCCUGGAAGGUAACGCCCCCUCGGGGGCGUCUUAUAGCCAGGGGUGCAAUGUGGCCUGCCUGGACCGAGGAACGCGCUUCGGCUCGGACGUGC